AUCCCUAACUCUCUUUACCUGACAAAUCAAAACCUUUUAUCACUGUAUCUCACUUCAGCACAAUAUCUCCCUUUCUCCCUCGAGCCUCCAAUCUCUCCUUCUCUCGCAGGGACCGUGUCGGCGACCGCGAUUCUUCCAUAUUUGGGCCCGCAUCUUAGGCACUGAUUAAUGUCCACGCAACAGUGAUAAAAUACAAGUUCUACUUUCAUCUAAUGGAGUUACGGAGUUGUAUUCAUUUACAUUUUAUCCAGGUUGCUAAAGGUGGGUUGGCAACAAAAGCCCUGAAUGUGUACCGUGGAAGGCCAGCACUAAAGUUCAAGAAGGUUAAAGAUCUAUAUGAAACUGAGGAUGCAAAAAAUUUUAACCCAUUGCCAGUGUUUAUACCAAAAGUUGAGUUUGAAUGUGAUGAGACAGAAAGUCUACAUACACUCACAGUAGAAAGAACAAUACAAGUUGGUGGUGAAACUUCAGAGGCUAAUAGUAAAGGUAUUGAUAUUGGAGCAAGGGAAAUAGAUGAACUUAACUUUGGCAAUAUGACACUG
rnacentral:misc_RNA from 1 species